GUCAAAACAAGCUUCCAGACUUGCGCAAUACCACGGGGUGGCAGCUCCUGCAGUGUCGUGGUGCCUCAACAACUUUUGCCAUGAUUUGCAGCACCUUUUGGACAUUUCCGUGCGUGCAGCCUAUCCACCCAGCCACAGCACGGGCUGGCCGCAUUUUGUACAUUCGUCGCCUAAUAGGAUAAUCGUGUUGACAUACACUAGAUAUAUGGUGAUUCGAGGACAGGAGAGGCACUCCGGUACCGUCAACCGUGCCUUUUAUGCCAUGCUUAUACUACCCUUCGUCAGAUA
rnacentral:lncRNA from 1 species